rnacentral:rRNA from 1 species
CCCUUAGAUGUUCUGGGCUGCACGCGCGCUACACUGAUACCUUCAGCGAGUCCACCACCUUGCCUGGGAGGGUGGGGUAACCUCUGGAAAGUGCAUCGUGAUGGGGAUCGAUUAUUGUAAUUAUUAAUCUUCAACGAGGAAUUCCUAGUAAGCAUGUGUCAUCAGCCCGUGCUGAUUACGUCCCUGCCCUUUGUACACACCGCCCGUCGCUCCUACCGAUUGAGUGCUCAGGUGAAUAAUUCGGACUGCAGCAAUGUUUGGAUCCCGAACGUUGCAGCGGAAAGUUUAGUGAACCUUAUCACUUAGAGGAAGGAGAAGUCGUAACA